rnacentral:rRNA from 1 species
GACGAACGCUGGCGGCGUGCUUAACACAUGCAAGUCGAACGAUGAAGCCUUAACUUGCUUUGGCGGAUUAGUGGCGAACGCGUGAGUAACACGUGAGCAACGCGCCCAGGACUCUGGAAUAACCGUUGGAAAACGUGGCUAAUAUCGGAUAGGUGCCGAGGCCGCAUGGUCUUCGGAAGGAAAGUAUUUGCGGUAUUGGAUCGGCUCACGGCCCAUCAGCUCGUUGGCGGGGUAAUGACCUACCAAGGCGCCGACGGGUCGCCGACCUGCGAAGGUGACCGGCGACACUGGGACUGAGGCACGGCGCAGACGCCUACGGGAGGCAGCAGUGGAGAGUAUUGCACAGUGAGCGCGAGCCUGAUGCAGCGACGCCGCGUGGGGGAUGACGGCCUUCGAGUUGUAAACCUCUUUUUGUAGGGAAGAAGCGAAAGUGACGGUACCUACAGAGAAAGCACCGGCUAACUACGUG